GCAGUCGAGCGAAUGAUGAGGAGCUUGCUCCUCUGAUUUAGCGGCGGACGGGUGAGUAACACGUGGGUAAUCUGCCUGUAAGACGGGGAUAGCUCCGGGAAACCGGGGCUAAUACCGGAUAAUAAGAGAAGAAGCAUUUCUUCUUUUUGAAAGUCGGCAUCUCGCUGACACUUACAGAUGAGCCCGCGGCGCAUUAGCUAGUUGGUGAGGUAACGGCUCACCAAGGCGACGAUGCGUAGCCGACCUGAGAGGGUGAUCGGCCACACUGGGACUGAGACACGGCCCAGACUCCUACGGGAGGCAGCAGUAGGGAAUCUUCGGCAAUGGGCGAAAGCCUGACCGAGCAACGCCGCGUGAGCGAUGAAGGCCUUCGGGUCGUAAAGCUCUGUUGUUAGAGAAGAACAAGUACGAGAGUAACUGCUCGUACCUUGACGGUACCUAACCAGAAAGCCACGGCUAACUACGUGCCAGCAGCCGCGGUAAUACGUAGGUGGCAAGCGUUAUCCGGAAUUAUUGGGCGUAAAGCGCGCGCAGGCGGUCUCUUAAGUCUGAUGUGAAAGCCCACAGCUCAACCGUGGAGGGUCAUUGGAAACUGGGAGACUUGAGUGCAGGAGAGAAAAGUGGAAUUCCACGUGUAGCGGUGAAAUGCGUAGAGAUGUGGAGGAACACCAGUGGCGAAGGCGGCUUUUUGGCCUGUAACUGACGCUGAGGCGCGAAAGCGUGGGGAGCAAACAGGAUUAGAUACCCUGGUAGUCCACGCCGUAAACGAUGAGUGCUAGGUGUUGGGGGGUUCCACCCUCAGUGCUGAAGUUAACACAUUAAGCACUCCGCCUGGG
rnacentral:rRNA from 1 species